rnacentral:rRNA from 1 species
CAUAGGUUAAUGAGGCGAACCGGGGGAACUGAAACAUCUAAGUACCCCGAGGAAAAGAAAUCAACCGAGAUUCCCCCAGUAGCGGCGAGCGAACGGGGAGCAGCCCAGAGCCUGAAUCAGUAUGUGUGUUAGUGGAAGCGUCUGGAAAGGCGCGCGAUACAGGGUGACAGCCCCGUACACAAAAAUGCACAUGCUGUGAGCUCGAUGAGUAGGGCGGGACACGUGGUAUCCUGUCUGAAUAUGGGGGGACCAUCCUCCAAGGCUAAAUACUCCUGACUGACCGAUAGUGAACCAGUACCGUGAGGGAAAGGCGAAAAGAACCCCGGCGAGGGGAGUGAAAAAGAACCUGAAACCGUGUACGUACAAGCAGUGGGAGCACGCUUAGGCGUGUGACUGCGUACCUUUUGUAUAAUGGGUCAGCGACUUAUAUUCUGUAGCAAGGUUAACCGAAUAGGGGAGCCGAAGGGAAACCGAGUCUUAACUGGGCGUUAAGUUGCAGGGUAUAGACCCGAAACCCGGUGAUCUAGCCAUGGGCAGGUUGAAGGUUGGGUAACACUAACUGGAGGACCGAACCGACUAAUGUUGAAAAAUUAGCGGAUGACUUGUGGCUGGGGGUGAAAGGCCAAUCAAACCGGGAGAUAGCUGGUUCUCCCCGAAAGCUAUUUAGGUAGCGCCUCGUGAAUUCAUCUCCGGGGGUAGAGCACUGUUUCGGCAAGGGGGUCAUCCCGACUUACCAACCCGAUGCAAACUGCGAAUACCGGAGAAUGUUAUCACGGGAGACACACGGCGGGUGCUAACGUCCGUCGUGAAGAGGGAAACAACCCAGACCGCCAGCUAAGGUCCCAAAGUCAUGGUUAAGUGGGAAACGAUGUGGGAAGGCCCAGACAGCCAGGAUGUUGGCUUAGAAGCAGCCAUCAUUUAAAGAAAGCGUAAUAGCUCACUGGUCGAGUCGGCCUGCGCGGAAGAUGUAACGGGGCUAAACCAUGCACCGAAGCUGCGGCAGCGACGCUGAUGCGUUGUUGGGUAGGGGAGCGUUCUGUAAGCCUGCGAAGGUGUGCUGUGAGGCAUGCUGGAGGUAUCAGAAGUGCGAAUGCUGACAUAAGUAACGAUAAAGCGGGUGAAAAGCCCGCUCGCCGGAAGACCAAGGGUUCCUGUCCAACGUUAAUCGGGGCAGGGUGAGUCGACCCCUAAGGCGAGGCCGAAAGGCGUAGUCGAUGGGAAACAGGUUAAUAUUCCUGUACUUGGUGUUACUGCGAAGGGGGGACGGAGAAGGCUAUGUUGGCCGGGCGACGGUUGUCCCGGUUUAAGCGUGUAGGCUGGUUUUCCAGGCAAAUCCGGAAAAUCAAGGCUGAGGCGUGAUGACGAGGCACUACGGUGCUGAAGCAACAAAUGCCCUGCUUCCAGGAAAAGCCUCUAAGCAUCAGGUAACAUCAAAUCGUACCCCAAACCGACACAGGUGGUCAGGUAGAGAAUACCAAGGCGCUUGAGAGAACUCGGGUGAAGGAACUAGGCAAAAUGGUGCCGUAACUUCGGGAGAAGGCACGCUGAUAUGUAGGUGAAGUCCCUCGCGGAUGGAGCUGAAAUCAGUCGAAGAUACCAGCUGGCUGCAACUGUUUAUUAAAAACACAGCACUGUGCAAACACGAAAGUGGACGUAUACGGUGUGACGCCUGCCCGGUGCCGGAAGGUUAAUUGAUGGGGUUAGCGCAAGCGAAGCUCUUGAUCGAAGCCCCGGUAAACGGCGGCCGUAACUAUAACGGUCCUAAGGUAGCGAAAUUCCUUGUCGGGUAAGUUCCGACCUGCACGAAUGGCGUAAUGAUGGCCAGGCUGUCUCCACCCGAGACUCAGUGAAAUUGAACUCGCUGUGAAGAUGCAGUGUACCCGCGGCAAGACGGAAAGACCCCGUGAACCUUUACUAUAGCUUGACACUGAACAUUGAGCCUUGAUGUGUAGGAUAGGUGGGAGGCUUUGAAGUGUGGACGCCAGUCUGCAUGGAGCCGACCUUGAAAUACCACCCUUUAAUGUUUGAUGUUCUAACGUUGACCCGUAAUCCGGGUUGCGGACAGUGUCUGGUGGGUAGUUUGACUGGGGCGGUCUCCUCCUAAAGAGUAACGGAGGAGCACGAAGGUUGGCUAAUCCUGGUCGGACAUCAGGAGGUUAGUGCAAUGGCAUAAGCCAGCUUGACUGCGAGCGUGACGGCGCGAGCAGGUGCGAAAGCAGGUCAUAGUGAUCCGGUGGUUCUGAAUGGAAGGGCCAUCGCUCAACGGAUAAAAGGUACUCCGGGGAUAACAGGCUGAUACCGCCCAAGAGUUCAUAUCGACGGCGGUGUUUGGCACCUCGAUGUCGGCUCAUCACAUCCUGGGGCUGAAGUAGGUCCCAAGGGUAUGGCUGUUCGCCAUUUAAAGUGGUACGCGAGCUGGGUUUAGAACGUCGUGAGACAGUUCGGUCCCUAUCUGCCGUGGGCGCUGGAGAACUGAGGGGGGCUGCUCCUAGUACGAGAGGACCGGAGUGGACGCAUCACUGGUGUUCGGGUUGUCAUGCCAAUGGCACUGCCCGGUAGCUAAAUGCGGAAGAGAUAAGUGCUGAAAGCAUCUAAGCACGAAACUUGCCCCGAGAUGAGUUCUCCCUGACUCCUUGAGAGUCCUGAAGGAACGUUGAAGACGACGACGUUGAUAGGCCGGGUGUGUAAGCGCAGCGAUGCGUUGAGCUAACCGGUACUAAUGAACCGUGAGGCUUAACCUUACAACGCCGAAG